UACGGAGGGGGCUAGCGUUGUUCGGAAUUACUGGGCGUAAAGCGCGCGUAGGCGGACCUGCAAGUCGGGGGUGAAAGCCCGAGGCUCAACCUCGGAACUGCCUUCGAUACUGCGGGUCUCGAGUCCGGGAGAGGUGAGUGGAAUUCCUAGUGUAGAGGUGAAAUUCGUAGAUAUUAGGAAGAACACCAGUGGCGAAGGCGGCGAUCUGGGAAGAUACUGACGCUGAGGUGCGAAAGCGUGGGGAGCAAACAGG
rnacentral:rRNA from 1 species